UGGGGAAUAUUGCACAAUGGGCGAAAGCCUGAUGCAGCAACGCCGCGUGAGUGAUGAAGGUCUUCGGAUUGUAAAGCUCUGUCUUUUGGGACGAUAAUGACGGUACCAAAGGAGGAAGCCACGGCUAACUACGUGCCAGCAGCCGCGGUAAUACGUAGGUGGCGAGCGUUGUCCGGAUUUACUGGGCGUAAAGGGUGCGUAGGCGGAUGUUUAAGUGAGAUGUGAAAUACCCGGGCUUAACUUGGGUGCUGCAUUUCAAACUGGAUAUCUAGAGUGCAGGAGAGGAGAAUGGAAUUCCUAGUGUAGCGGUGAAAUGCGUAGAGAUUAGGAAGAACACCAGUGGCGAAGGCGAUUCUCUGGACUGUAACUGACGCUGAGGCACG
rnacentral:rRNA from 1 species